rnacentral:tRNA from 1 species
GGCGGCGUAGCUCAGGCUGGUAGAGCAAACGGCUCAUACCCGUUGCGUCAUCCGUUCAAGUCGGAUCGCCGCCA